AGGAAGGUGCGUAUAACACUGUUGAUAUCAUGCAGACCAAGUUUAUCCUCCCAGAUAGUGGAGAAAAGUGGGUGAUCCAAGCAAUUCGGGAUGCUUGGAAGCGGUUCAAGGGAAAGAUUAAGCAAAAGCACUUUGUUCCCUUUGAUACCAUCGAAGAUAUGGUGAAAAAUUGACCGACACAAGUUCCAGAAAGUCAAUUCAUAAAAUUGAUCUAUUAUUGGAGUCAUCCUACAAUCCAGUCAAUAAGUGAAAAAAAUAAGAAACAUAAAGAACAGCAAAAGUUUCCACAUCGCAUGGGGCCAAUCAAUUUUGGAAAAGUACGAGUGGCUCUGGUAUACUUAUUUAAUAUUUGUGCUGGGAUUUGUUUAGUUAAUUUUAGUUAUGUUGUUAUAGACUUACUUAUUUAAGGCUUUAUUUUGUAGCGCGCGACAAAGGAAACAAAUGAGGAACCAAAAAGGUUUGAAUUGUUCCUUGCUACUCGAACAAGUCGGAAAAGGAAGGAAGUUGAUCAGGAAACACAAGAUGCAAUUGAUGAAUUCCAAAACCGGCAAGCUGCUGGUGAAACAGAUGAGGAAGCUUUUGAGUCUUUAUUUGGAAAAGAAUAACCAGAUCGGGUUAGGUGCUAUGGAAGAUCUGUUACACGAAGUGACUUAAAAAAGCAUGCAGAAAUUUCUGAACUCAAGCAACAACACCAGGAGGAAGUCACAUCUUUGAAGGCUGAACUUGGAGACAUGAAGGCCAAACAGCAGCACCAAGAGGCUGACCUUCAUGGAUUGCGAAACAUGAUUAAGUUACUAGUUCAGCGAUCUGAACCUGGAAUGAGGCCGGAAGAAAUUGAAGCCUUGUUACAAGAUGCCCAACACUCUCCAAUUGAUGCAAAUAGCGCUCAUGGAUCAACACAUAUUCCAAACAUAAAUAUGGAUAAUUCUGAAGAUGCGAGUGAAGAUUGAGAUGCUUAUCAUGAUGGUUUAUUGACAAAGAUGGAAA